rnacentral:rRNA from 1 species
CUACCAUGGCAGUCACGGGUAACGGAGAAUUAGGGUUCGAUUCCGGAGAGGGAGCCUGAGAAACGGCUACCACAUCUACGGAAGGCAGCAGGCGCGCAAAUUGCCCAAUCCCGACACGGGGAGGCAGUGACAAGAAAUAACAACUCUAGGUUUUCUUAGAAGUGUAAUGAGGAUAAUUUACAAACCUUACCAAAUGCAAUUGGAGGGCAAGUCUGGUGCCAGCAGCCGCGGUAAUUCCAGCUCCAAUAGCGUAUAUUAAAGUUGUUGCAGUUAAAAAGCUCGUAGUUGAAAAUCUGAUUGCUCAGGUCUCCAGCCUUUAGGCGGGGAUUCUGACAGUCAUCCGCUUGCAAACAUAUGUUCGAUCUUCACCGGUUGGCUAUGUGAGUAAGCACUUUACCUUGAGAAAAACAGAGUGUUCCAGGCAGGUUUGUCCGGAAUGCAUUAGCAUGGAAUAAUAGAACAUGACUGAAGUCUAUUUAUUGGUUAAAGGCUUUAGUAAUGAUUAAUAGGAACAGUCGGGGCAUUCGUACUCAGCAGUCAGAGGUGAAAUUCUAAGAUUUGCUGAAGACGAACUAAUGCGAAAGCAUUUGCCAAGGAUGUUUUCAUUAAUCAAGAACGAAAGUUAGGGGAUC